rnacentral:rRNA from 1 species
UCCGUAGGUGAACCUGCGGAGGGAUCAUUACACAAAUAUGAAGGCGGGCUGGAACCUCUCGGGGUUACAGCCUUGCUGAAUUAUUCACCCUUGUCUUUUGCGUACUUCUUGUUUCCUUGGUGGGUUCGCCCACCACUAGGACAAACAUAAACCUUUUGUAAUUGCAAUCAGCGUCAGUAACAAAUUAAUAAUUACAACUUUCAACAACGGAUCUCUUGGUUCUGGCAUCGAUGAAGAACGCAGCGAAAUGCGAUAAGUAGUGUGAAUUGCAGAAUUCAGUGAAUCAUCGAAUCUUUGAACGCACAUUGCGCCCUUUGGUAUUCCAAAGGGCAUGCCUGUUCGAGCGUCAUUUGUACCCUCAAGCUUUGCUUGGUGUUGGGCGUCUUGUCUCUAGCUUUGCUGGAGACUCGCCUUAAAGUAAUUGGCAGCCGGCCUACUGGUUUCGGAGCGCAGCACAAGUCGCACUCUCUAUCAGCAAAGGUCUAGCAUCCAUUAAGCCUUUUUUUCAACUUUGACCUCGGAUCAGGUAGGGAUACCCGCUGAACUUAAGCAUAUCAAUAAGCGGAGGA